rnacentral:lncRNA from 1 species
GGUCAUGCACUUUGAAGAAACGUGCACUCAACAAAGAACACAACAGAAGAAUGUGUACUCCAAUCCAAGGAAUGCAUAAAAGUUUUCCUUUUGAAACAACACUAGAGCAUAUAUAAUCUAGAGUCUGACAAUAUGUUUCAAAUGAAAAAGAUAGCAGCAAUUCACGCUUCAAACUUCAUUCAUAAUAUUUGCAACAUAAACAGCCAUUUAGUGAACAUAGCCUUGUACUGUACCUUUGCUUGCCGAGACAUUAUGCAUAACUUCCAGGAGUUAUCUGCUAAGUUAGCUGACUUCCAUAUUUCACGAUUGAGAAGUAUCUUGGUAUCACGCUCUAGUAGCUAGCUGCUCAACACAACAGGGGAAUCUUCUUUCACUAUCUUGCAGUCAACUAAUUCCUGAAGCAGCCUUUCUGCUUCUUCAAUCCUGCCUGAAUUGGCGACUCUUCUGACUAUAGAUAGAUAAAAUGAGUUACUGGUGUUUUUAGUUUCUGAUACCAUUACUCGCAGUAUAUCAGCAGCAGCUUCCGCUUUGCUAUCUCUGCACAAUGCCUGGAUCACCAUGACAAAAGUAGUUACUUUAACCUGAAAACCAAGAGCAAGCGUCCGAUUCA